UGAGACGUCUGACUCAAGCUUGAGCUCAAGUGCAUCAACUAUAAUCCUAGAUGAUGUCCCUAGCAAGAGACAAAGAAUUGAGGAUACACGUGAUGCUGUGUCUGCUAAACAGUUGAUUGAAGCUGUGCUAAGAGGCAAGUCUGGGGGUGAAGAAGUACUACAGGAGUACCAAACAACAGAAACCCUAACAGAUGCUGCAAGAAGAAAAAUGGUUAACAUCCUGGUGGCUCACAUGAUUGACAAUCAUGGGCACCGCCCCACUAAAGCAAUCAGAGAAGAUUAUGCACGUGGGAUAGUGAUGUUGUUCCCUUCCCUCAAGGAUCCAUACUCCAAG